GACGAACGCUGGCGGCGUGCUUAACACAUGCAAGUCGAACGGAAAGGCCUGCUUUCCCUUGUGGAUUGCGGGUACUCGAGUGGCGAACGGGUGAGUAACACGUGAGUGAUCUGCCCCCAACUUGGGUAUAAGCCUGGGAAACUGGGUCUAAUUCCCGAUAGGACUGCAGGGUGGUGCCUGUGGUGGAAAACGAUUUUCUAGUGGUUGGGGAUGAGCUUGCGGGCUAUCAGCUUUUUGGUGGGGUAAUGGCCUACCAGGGCGGCGACGGGUAGCCGGCCUGGGAGGGUGGACGGCCACAUUGGGACUGAGAUACGGCCCAGACUCCUACGGGAGGCAGCAGUGGGGAAUAUUGCACAAUGGGCGGAAGCCUGAUGCAGCGACGCCGCGUGGGGGAUGACGGCCUUCGGGUUGUAAACUCCUUUCGACCGCGAGGAAGCCACCUGGUUGGAAGGGUGGUGACGGUAGUGGUAGAAGAAGCACCGGCUAACUACGUG
rnacentral:rRNA from 1 species